rnacentral:rRNA from 1 species
UACGGAGGGUGCGAGCGUUGUCCGGAAUCACUGGGCGUAAAGGGCGCGUAGGCGGCUCAUGAAGGCUGUGGUGAAAGUCCGGGGCUCAACCUCGGAUCGGCCGUGGCGACUCGUGGGCUGGAGCACUGUAGAGGCGGGUGGAAUUCCGGGUGUAGCGGUGGAAUGCGUAGAGAUCCGGAAGAACACCAGUGGCGAAGGCGGC